UGUCAAACAAAAGGAGGAGAUCUGGUGAUCGUGACCAGCAUGGAAGAAAUGGUGUUUCUGAAUAAGCUCGGAGUUAAUCUGAGGUUCUGGAUUGGUUUGAAUUCAACAGCUGGAUUGUGGACAUGGACAAAUGGAAAACAUCUAGAAAAAUCUUACUGGAUAUCAAGGCGCUAUUACAGCUUUCAGACCUGUGCAGCGUUCAACAGCUUUCCACAUCCAAGUCCUCUCAGGCCUGUGCACAGUGUGAAGUCCUGGACCCCCGAGUACUGCCCUACAGCCCUGCAGAGGGUCUGUGAGAAGGAGGCCACUCCGACAGCACUGUGAACUCAUCUGAUCUCACAGACAACCUGCAAACCACACGAGAAACACCAAAACCUGCUUCAUUAGUUAGACUCCAUAUUUCUCCAGAGUUCAAUCAUAUAAAUAGAUACUUAAUGUAUUACUCGCUGCAAGGAAAAAGGCAUGAACAAAAUUAUGCUUGACAGUAGAGAAAGACAUUGCAGCAAAUGAUCUUCACCGUAAACCUGAAGAUGGAGUCCUUUUUACAACAUUAGAGGAGCGAGUGAGCUCCAGUAUAUGAGGCCUGGGGCCUGACUUUGAAGGGAUGACUGCAUGAAUAUGGAAUUAACAACUGUUAA